rnacentral:rRNA from 1 species
AAAUUGAAGAGUUUGAUCAUGGCUCAGAUUGAACGCUGGCGGCAGGCCUAACACAUGCAAGUCGAACGGUAACAGGAAGCAGCUUGCUGUUUUGCUGACGAGUGGCGGACGGGUGAGUAAUGUCUGGGAAACUGCCUGAUGGAGGGGGAUAACUACUGGAAACGGUGGCUAAUACCGCAUAACGUCGCAAGACCAAAGAGGGGGACCUUCGGGCCUCUUGCCAUCAGAUGUGCCCAGAUGGGAUUAGCUUGUUGGUGAGGUAACGGCUCACCAAGGCGACGAUCCCUAGCUGGUCUGAGAGGAUGACCAGCCACACUGGAACUGAGACACGGUCCAGACUCCUACGGGAGGCAGCAGUGGGGAAUAUUGCACAAUGGGCGCAAGCCUGAUGCAGCCAUGCCGCGUGUAUGAAGAAAGCCUUCGGGUUGUAAAGUACUUUCAGCGGGGAGGAAGGUGUUGUGGUUAAUAACCACAGCAAUUGACGUUACCCGCAGAAGAAGCACCGGCUAACUCCGUGCCAGCAGCCGCGGUAAUACGGAGGGUGCAAGCGUUAAUCGGAAUUACUGGGCGUAA